rnacentral:lncRNA from 1 species
UUUUAUUCCUUUUUUUUUUUUUUUUGCAAUGGAGUCUUACUCUGUCACCCAGGCUGGAGUGCAGACUCUGUCACCCAGGCUGGAGUGCAGUGGCGCAAUCUUGGCUCACUGCACCUCCACCUCCCGGGUUCAAGCAAUUCUCCUGCCUCAGCCUCCUGAGUAGCUGAGACCACUGGCUAACUCCUACUUAUCCUCAGGCCUUUUCUGAACUCACAAUUCAAAUUACAGCUCCCUUUGGUUCUCUUCCACAGCAGUUGUACUUACAUAUGUCUAUUUAUAUAAUUAUGAAUUUGUUUCAUAUUUGUCGCCCUUUACAUGGUAAACUUAAUGAAUUUUGGGGCUCCAUCUGUUUUGCUCACCACUUGAUCCUUGGCAUGUAGCACACAAUGGCUGCUCAAUACCUAUUUACUGAAUGAGCAAAUGGGCUGGACCACUUUUAGAGACUGGAGAUAUUUGGCAAGAGAUUUUGGCAUUUAGUGGGUACUACAGGGGAAAAUGUUAUCAACAAUUGCUUAUAAGACUGAUUUUGGCGCGUAUGUUUUGUAUUCCUUCGGGGUUUUUUUGUUUGUUUGUUUGUUUUUAAUGAAUCCCUGGAAAUUAUCACCAGACCGACUCAAAAUUACAAAGUUUUUCAGAGCUUAUACACCUUCUAAGCUAUAUGUCUGGGAUUACAGGCGUGAGCCAAGUGCUGGGAUUACAGGCGUGAGCCACCAUGCCCGGCCAAUGCGUACCUUUAUUGCUACACCAUGGUGUUGAAUAUUAUUAUGUAUAAAUAACUAUUGGUUUCAUACAAUAGAAGAUUUCUGGUCUAUGAAGCAUUUUAGAGGAAAUUAAACGAUGUUUAUGUUAAUUUUAAAAAGCAAGAGAUAAAAUUUCAUAUCAAUAUGACCUCAACUUUGUAAAAUAAACAUCAUUUUUAAAAGAGAUCAGAAGGAGCUAUACCUCUGAGUGGUAA